rnacentral:rRNA from 1 species
AGCGAACGCUGGCGGCAGGCCUAACACAUGCAAGUCGAACGAAGUCUUCGGACUUAGUGGCGGACGGGUGAGUAACACGUGGGAACGUACCUUUAGGUUCGGAACAACUCAGGGAAACUUGAGCUAAUACCGGAUAAGCCCUUCGGUGGAAAGAUUUAUCGCCUUUAGAGCGGCCCGCGUUCGAUUAGCUAGUUGGUGAGGUAAAGGCUCGCCAAGGCUACGAUCUAUAGCUGGUCUGAGAGGAUGAUCAGCCACACUGGGACUGAGACACGGCCCAGGCUCCUACGGGAGGCAGCAGUGGGGAAUCUUGCGCAAUGGGCGAAAGCCUGACGCAGCCAUGCCGCGUGAAUGAUGAAGGUCUUAGGAUUGUAAAAUUCUUUUACCAGGGACGAUAAUGACGGUACCUGGAGAAAAAGCCCCGGCUAACUUCGUGCCAGCCGCCGCCGUAA